rnacentral:rRNA from 1 species
UACGUAGGGUGCGAGCGUUAAUCGGAAUUACUGGGCGUAAAGUGUGCGCAGGCGGCAGAGCAAGUCGAGUGUGAAAGCCCCGGGCUUAACUUGGGAAUUGCGCUCGAAACUACUUUGCUGGAGUGUGGCAGAGGAAGGUGGAAUUCCACGUGUAGCGGUGAAAUGCGUAGAGAUCAGGAGGAACACCCGUGGCGAAGGCGGCUCCCUGGUCCGUCCCUGACGCUGAGACGCGAAAGCGCGGGGAUCGAACGGG